rnacentral:tRNA from 1 species
GUCCUUGUAGUAUAAAAAUUACCCUGGUCUUGUAAACCAGAAAUGAAGCACAACCCUUCCUAGGACA